CUGGAUAUGAUGCAUCUAAAAGACCUGACUAAUACUGAUGGUUUUUGUAUUCAUACUGUCUGAUCCAG
ensembl:snoRNA